GUACUCUACGGGGAGGCAGCAGUGGGGGAAUAUUGCACAAUGGGCGCAAGCCUGAUGCAGCCAUGCCGCGUGUGUGAAGAAGGACCUUCGGGUUGUAAAGCACUUUCAGUCGUGAGGAAGGUAGUGUAGUUAAUAGCUGCAUUAUUUGACGUUAGCGACAGAAGAAGCACCGGCUAACUCCGUGCCAGCAGCCGCGGUAAUACGGAGGGUGCGAGCGUUAAUCGGAAUUACUGGGCGUAAAGCGCAUGCAGGUGGUUUGUUAAGUCAGAUGUGAAAGCCCGGGGCUCAACCUCGGAAUAGCAUUUGAAACUAGGCAGACUAGAGUACUGUAGAGGGGGGUAGGAAUUUCAGGUGUAGCGGUGAAAUGCGUAGAGAUCUGAAGGAAUACCGGUGGCGAAGGCGGCCCCCUGGACAGAUACUGACACUCAGAUGCGAAAGCGUGGGGAGCAAACAGGAUUAGAUACCCUGGUAG
rnacentral:rRNA from 1 species